UACGGGGGGAGCAAGCGUUGUUCGGAUUUACUGGGCGUAAAGGGCGCGUAGGCGGUCAGCACAAGUCAGUUGUGAAAUCUCCGGGCUUAACUCGGAAAGGUCAACUGAUACUGUGCGACUAGAGUGCAGAAGGGGCAACUGGAAUUCUCGGUGUAGCGGUGAAAUGCGUAGAUAUCAUCUGGAACGCCAAUGGUGAAAACAGCUCGCUGGGGGUUUGCAGACGCUGAGACACGAAAGCCAGGGGAGCGAACGGG
rnacentral:rRNA from 1 species